rnacentral:rRNA from 1 species
UACGUAGGGUGCGAGCGUUGUCCGGAAUUAUUGGGCGUAAAGAGCUCGUAGGCGGUGUGUCGCGUCGGCCGUGAAAACCUGGGGCUCAACUCUGGGCGUGCGGUCGAUACGGGCAUCACUGGAGUUCGGCAGGGGAGACUGGAAUUCCUGGUGUAGCGGUGAAAUGCGCAGAUAUCAGGAGGAACACCGGUGGCGAAGGCGGGGUCUCUGGGCCGAUACUGACGCUGAGGAGCGAAAGCAUGGGUAGCGAACAGG